rnacentral:rRNA from 1 species
AUUGAACGCUGGCGGCAUGCCUAACACAUGCAAGUCGAGCGGAUGAACGGAGCUUUCGCCUGGAUCCCGCGGCGGACGGGUGAGUAAUGCCUAUGAAUCUGCCUGGUAGUGGGGGAUAACGUCCUGAAACGGGCGCUAAUACCGCAGACGUCCAGCGGGAGAAAGUGGGGGAUCUUCGGACCUCACGCUAUCAGAUGAGCCUAGGUCGGAUUAGCUAGUUGGUUGGGUAAAUGCCUACCAAGUCGACGAUCCGUAACUGGUCUGAGAGGAUGGUCAGUCACACUGGAAGUUAACCAGGGUCCAGAGUCCUGCGGUAGGCAGCAGUGGGGAAUAUUGGACAAUGGUCGAGAGCAUGAUCCAGCGGUGCGGCGCGUGUGAAGAAGGUGUUCGGAGUGUGAAGCACUUUAAGUGGUGGGAAAGCGCAGUAAGUUAAGACGUAGCUGGAGUGACGUUAACAACAGAAGAAGCACCGGCUAACUACGUG